rnacentral:lncRNA from 1 species
UGAUAGUGCUAUUAGUGUUUUUGUUUUGCUAAAUUUUGUAUAUUGUUAACAAGAAAUGAGAAGAUUGAUAGUGUUUUUAGUGUUCUUGUUUUGCUAAAUUUUGUAUAUUGUUAUCAAGAAAUGAGAAGGUCGAUAGUGUUAUUAUGUUCUUGUUUUGCUAAAUUUUGUAUAUUCUUAUCAAGAAAUGAGAAGAUUGACAGUGUUAUUAGUGUUCUUGUUUUGCUAAAUUUUGUAUAUUGUUAUCAAGAAAUGAGAAGAUCGAUUGUGUUAUUAGUGUUCUUGUUUUGCUAAUUUUGUAUAUUAUUGCCAAGAAAGGAGAAGAUGGAUAGUGUUAUUAGUGUUCUUGUUUUGCUAAAUUGUGUAUAUUGUUAUCAAGAAAUGAGAAGAUUGAUAGUGUUAUUAGUGUUCUUGUUUUGCUAAAUUUUGUCAAUUGUUAUCAAGAAAUGAGAAGAUUGAUAGUGUUAUUAGUGUUCUUGUUUUGCUAAAUUUUGUUUAUUGUUAUCAAGAAAUGAGAAGAUUGAUAGUGUUAUUAGUGUUCUUGUUUUGCUAAAUUUUGUUUAUCAAGGAAAUUGAGACAGACUGAUAGUGUUAUUAGUGUUCUUACGUUUUGGUUAAAUUUUGUAUAUUCUUAUCAAGCAAAAUGAGAGGAUUGAUAGUGGUUAUCGAUUUCAUUAUUGAUUUUGCUAAUUUUGAUUAUUCUAUCAAGAAAUGAGAAGAUUGAUAGUAUUAUUUUCUUGGUUUUGCUCAAAAUUUUGUAUAUUGGUUAGUCCAAAAACUGAGAAACUUGAUAAUGUUAUUAGUGUCUUGUUUUGCUAAAUUUUUUUAUAUUGAUUUAUGGAGCAAUGAGAGAUUGAUAGUUUUAUUAGUGUUUCUUGUUUCGCCUAAAUUUUUGUAUAUUGUUAUCAGAAAUGAGAAUUGAUAGAUGUUAUUAUAGUUCUUGUUUUGCAAAUUUGUAUGAUUGUUAUCAAGAAAUGAGAGACUUGAUAAUUGUUAUUAGUGUUCUUGUUUUGCUAAUUGUAUUUGUUAUCGAAGAGAAUGAGAAGAUGAUGAGUGUUAUUAGGUUUGUUUUGCUAUUUCCGUUUUGUACUAGAAAUACAGAUUGUUGUAUAGUCUUGUUAUCAGAAAAUGAAGAAGAUUGAUGUAGGUGUUAUUAGUGUUCUUGUUUUUUGCUAAAUUUUGUAUAUUUUUAUCAAGAAAUGAGAAGUUGAUAUGUUAUUAGUGUUCUUGUUGUUGUUCUAAUUUUUGUAUAUUGUUUAUGAAGAAUGAGAAGAUGAGAGUGUUAUUAGUGUUUCUUGGUUUGCUAUUUUUGUAUUAAUUGUUAUCAAGAAAUGAGAAGAUUUGAUAGUGUUAUUAGUGUUCUUGGUUUUGCUAAAUUGUGUAUAUUGUUAUUCAAGAAAUGAGAAGAUUGAUAGUGUUAUUAGUGUUCUUGUUUUGCUAAAUUUUGUAUAUUGUUAUCAAGAAAUGAGAAGAUGUGAUAAGUGUUAUUAGUGUUCUUGUUUUGCUAAAUUUUUGAUAUUGUUAUCAAGAGAAAUGAGAGAGUUUGAUAGUGUUAUUAGUGAUUCAUUGUUUUGGCUAAAUUUUGUAUAUUGUUAUCAGAAAUAGAAGAGUGAUAGUGUUAUUUAGUGUUCUUUGUUAUCAAGAAACGUUUGACGCUUGACCCUUUAGCAAAAUCUCUCAAAAAUGAAAGGCUUGCAAUGGGGAAUUGCUCCAUGGCUUCUGUUCAUGGUUCAAAAUAAGGAUAUGGAAGAUCACAACCAAGUCGAUGUUAAGUCAUGACGGCACUGUUCGUUGAAUUUAUUGAUGGCUUCGAAGGGCCACACCACUGCUUCCUAUAUUCGUACGCACAUCUUCAGGACUCUAUUAUGUGAGUUAGUAUCUUUAACUUCUUUUUUUAAGCAUACUAAUGUUGUAUAUUGUUAUCGCAAGAAAUGAAGAAGAUUGAUUAGUGUUAUUAGUGUUCCUUGUUUUGCUAAAUUUGAUAUUGUUAGCAAGAAAUGAGAAGAUUUGAUAGUGUUAUUAGUUUCUUCUGUUUUUGCUAAAUUUGUAUAUUGUUAUCAAGAAUGAGAAGAUUGAUUUAGUGUUAUUAGUUUCUUGUUUGCUAAAUUUGUUAUUAUUGUGUAUCAAGAAAUGAGGAAAGACUGAUAGUGUUAUUAGGUGUUCUUGUUUUUGCUUAAAUUUUGGUAUAUUGUUUAUUCAAGGAAAUGAGACAGGAUUGAUAGUGUGAUUAGUGUUCUUGUUUUGCUAAAAUUUUAUAUUGUUAUCAAGAAAUGAGAAGAAUGAUAAUGUUAGUAGUGCUGUCUUGUUUUGCUAAAAUUUUGUAUUUGUUAUCAAGAAAAUGGAGAAAGAUUGAUAGUUGUUAUUAGUGUUCUUAUUGCUAAAUUUUUUAUAUUGAUAUCAAGAAAGAAAUGAGAAGAUUAUAGUGUUAUUUUAGUGUUCUUGUUUUGCUAAAUUGUUGUAUAUUUGUUUAUCAAAGAAAUGAGGAAGAUGAUAGUGGUGUAUUAGUGUUCUUGUUUGCUAAAUUGGUAUAUUGUUAUCAAGAAAAUGAGAAGAUUUGAUAGUGUGAUUAGUGUUCUUGUUUUGCCUAAUUUUGUAUAUUGUGUAUCAAGAAAUGAGAAGUUUGAUAAUGUUAUUAAGUGUUCUUGUUUUGCUAAAUUUUGUAUUAUUCCGUUAUCAAUUAAAUGAAGAAGAUAUAGUGUUAUUAGUGUUCUUUGUUUUGCUAAAAUUUUGCUUUUUGGCAUAUCAAGAAAUGAAGAAGAUUGAUAGUGUAUUUAGUGUUCUGGGUUUUGCUUAAAAUUUUGUAUAUUGUUAUCAAGAAAUGAGAAGAUUGAUAGGUGUUUAUUUGUGUUCUUUGUUUUUUGCUUAAAUUUUAUAUAUUUUAUCAAAGAUAUUCAGAAGAUUGAAGUGUUAUUAGUGUUCUUUGUUUUGCUAAAAUUUUGUAUAUUGUUAUCAAGGGAAAUAGGAAGCGUUUGAUAGUGUUAUUAGGUCUGUUUGUGUUUUAAUUUUGUAUAUUUGUUAUCAAAGAAAUGAGGAAGAUUGAUAGUGUUAAAUUAGUGUUCUUGUUUUGCUAAAUUUUGUAUAUUGUUAUCUUGAAAUAGAAGAUUGCAUGAGUGUUAUUUAGCUGUUUCUUGUUUGGGGCUAAUUUGUAUAUUGUUAUCAAGAAAUGAGAAAGAUUGAUAGUUGUGAUUAGUGUUCUUGUUUUGCUUAAAUUUUGUAUAUGUUAUCAAGAAAUGAGAAGAUUGGAUAAUUGUUUAUUAGUGUUCUUUGUUGCUAAAUUUUGUAUAUUGUUAUCAAAGAAAUGAGAAGGGUGAUAGUUUUAUUAGUGUUUCUUGUUUUGCUAAAUUUUGUAUAUUGUUAUCCAAGAGAUGAGAAGAUUGAUGAGUGUUUAUUUGUGUUCUUGGUAUCAAGAAAACGUUUGACGCUGACCCUUAUUAGCAAAAUCUCUCAAAAAUGAAAAAGCAGUGCAAUGGGGAAUUCUCCAUGGCUUCUGUUCAGUCAAAUAAGGAUAUGGAAGAUCACAAACCAAGUCGGAUGUAAGUCAUGACGCCACUGUUCGGUUUUGAAUUUAUGAUCGGCUUCGUAAGGCCACACCACUGCUUUCCUAUAUUCGUACGCACAUCUUCAGGACUGUUAUUAUGUGAGUUAUAUCUUUACUUCUUUUUUUUAGCAUACUAAUGUCGUAUAUUGCGUUAUCAAGAAAAUGAGAAGAUUGAAUAGUGUGAAAUUAGUGUUCUUUUUUGCUAAAUUUUUGUAUAUGUUAUCAGAAAUGAGGAAAGAUUGAUAGUGUUAUUAGUGUUUCUUGUUUUGCUAAAUUUUGCUUAUAUUUGUUAUCAAAAGAAAAUUUGAAGCAUUGAUUAGUGUUAUGGGAGGUUCUUGUUUGCUAAGUUUGGUAUUAUUUGUUAUCAAGAAAUGAGGGGAAAGAUUGAUAGUGUGAUUAGGUGUUCUUGUUUGCUAAAUUUUGUUGAUAUGUGUUAUCAAGAAAUGAGAAGAUUGGAUAAUGUUAUUAGUGUUUCUUGUUUUGCUAAAGUUCUGUAUAUCGUUUAUCAAUAAAUUGAGAAAGAUUGAUAGUGUUAUUAGUUUGUUCUUGUUUUUAUGCUAAAUUUUGAUAGGAUUGUAUCAAGAAAUUGGAGAAGAUUGGAUAGUGUUAUUAGUUGUUUUGUUUUGGCCUAAAUCUUGUAUAUUGUUAUCAAGAAAUUGAGGAGAAGCAUUGAUAGUGUUAUUUGUGUUCUUGUGUUUGCCUAAAAUUUUAUCUAUAUGUUUAUCAAAAAAAUCAGAAGCAUUUGCGCAUAGUGUUACUUUAGUUUCUUGUUUUGCUAAAUUUGAUAUUGUUUAUCAAGAAAAUAGGCCAAAGGCUUGAGUUUAGUGUUAUUAGUGUUCUUAUUUGUGACUUUUUAAUUUUGUAUAUUGUUAUCAAGAAAGGAAAGAAGAUUGAUAGUGUUAUUAGUGUUCUUGUUUUGCUAAAUUUGUUAUAUUGUUAUCAAGAAUGAGAAGAUUGAUAGUGUUAUUAGUGUGUUUCUUGUUUUGCUAAAUUUUGUAUAUUGUUAUCAAGAAAUGAGAAGAAUUGAUAGUGUUCGUGUUGAUUAGUGUUCUUUUUUGCCUAAAUUUUGUAUAUGUUAUCAAGAAAUGAGAAGAUUUUGAUAAUGUUAUUAGUGUUCUUGUUUGUGCCUUAAAAUUUUGGUAUGAUUGUUUAUCAAAGAAAUGAAGAAAGAUGAUAGUGUUAUUAGUGUUCUUGUUUUGCUAAAUUUUGUAUAUUGAUAUCCAAGAAAUGAGAAAGAUUGAUAGUGUGAUUAGUGUUCUUGUUUUGCUAAAUUUGCUAUUAUUGUUAUCAAGAAAUGAGAAGAUUGAUAAUGUUUAUUAGUGUUUUCUUGUUUUGCUAAAUUUGGUAUAUUUUAUCAAGAAAUGAGGAAGAUUUAUUUAGUGUUAUUAAGUGUUCUUGUUUUUGCUAAAAUUUUGUAUUAUUAUUAUCAAGAAAUGAGAAGGUGAUAGUGUUAUUAGUGUUCUUGCUUUUGCAAAAUUUUGUAUAUUGUUAUCAAGAAAUGAGAAGAUUGAUAGUGUUGUUAUGAGUGUUCUUAGUUAUUCAUGAAACGGUUGACGCUGACCCUUUAGCCAAAAAAUCUCUCAAAAAUGAAAAGGCAUUGCCAUAGGGAAUUCUCCAUGGGCUUUACUAUUCAGUCAAAUAAGAUAUGGAAGAUCACAACCAAGUCUAGGUAAAGUCAUGACGCACUGUUCGUUUGGAAUUUCAUUGAUUGGCUUCAAAGGGCCACACGACUGACUUCAAGAUACGUACGCACAUCUUUAGGGACUCUAUUACGUGAGUUAUUUUUUGGCUUCUUUUUUCUUAGCAUACUAAUAUACGUCUAAAUAUGUUAUCUAAAAGAAUGAGAAAAGAUUUGAAUAUUGUUACUAUGUUAAUUAUAGCUAACUUUGCAUCCUAAUUUGUCAUAUUGUACAAGAAAGAGAAAGAUAGAUCCGUAGUAAAACCCUUGAGUUGUGUCGUGUUUUGUCUUGAGAUUUUCCUGUAUUAUAAUGUCAUCAAGAAAUGGAGGAAGAUGAAUAGUGUGAUUUGAUGUUCUUCAGUUUUAGUCUAAAAUUUUUUUAUAUUACUGGUUACAAGGAGAAUGAAGAAAAGAUAUUGAUAUGUUCAUAGUGUCCGUAUCUUCUGUUCUGUUGCUAAAUUUAUGGUUAUACUAUGUUAUCAAUAGAAAAUGAGAAGAUGAUAGUGUAUUAUUCGUCUCCUUUGUUUUGAAACUCAUAAUAUUUAUAUGUAUAUCAGAGAAAAUCGAGAUAAUUGAUGAGUGGAUUAUAUUCGUUGUUUUGCAAACUUUGUGAUAAUUGUGUUAGUCAAGAAAUGAGUGAAGAUUGAUAUGUGUAUUAGUGUUCUUGUUUUGCUAACCAUUGUAUAUUAUAUCUACAGAGGAAUGAAAGGAUUGAUAAAUGUUAUUAGUGUCUUGUUGGUAAAAUUUGUAAUAUAUGUUAUCAAGAAAUGAGAAGAUUGAAUAGUGUUUUAUUUAGUGUUCUUGUUUUUCGCUAAAUUGUUGUAUAUUGAUAUCAAGAAAUAGGAAGGUGAUAGUGUUCAUUAGGUUCUUGUUGUAAUUUUUGUAUAUUGUUAUGAAGAAAUGAGAAGUAUGAUAGUGUUAUUAGUGUUCUUGUUUGCUAAAUUUUGUAUAUUGUGUAUCAAGAAAUGAGAAGAUUGAUAAGUGUUAUUAGUGUUCUUGUUUUGCUAAAUUUUUGUAUAUGUUAUCAAGAAAGAAUGAGAAGAUUGAUUAGUGUAUUUAGUGUUUCUUGUUUUGCUAAGUUUGUAAUAUUGUUAUCCAAGAAAUGAGAAACUUUGAUUAAUGUUAUGUUAGUAUGUUCUUGUUUUGCUAAAUUUUGUAUAUAUUGUUAUCAAGAAAGAGAAGGUAUGAUAGUGUAUUUAGUGUUCUUGUUUUGCUAAAUUUUUGUAUAUUGCGUAUCAAGAAAUGAGAAGAUUGAUAGUGUAUUAGUGUUACUUGUUAUCAAGAAACGUUUGACGCUGAGCCCUUUAGCAAAAUCUCUCAAAAAUGAAAGGCAUUUCGCCAUGGGGAAUUCUCCAUGGCUCUGUUCAGUCAAAUAAGAUUGAAGAUCACACAAGUCGAAUGUAAGUCAUGACCAACUGUCGUUUGAUUUAUGAGCUGAAGGCCAACCCACUGCUUCCUAUAUCUACGCACUCUCAGACUCAUAGUUCAUUCUUUAGCUUCUUUUUUUUAAGGCGAACUGAUUGUGUAAUGUUAUGCAAGAAUGAGAAAGCUGAUAGGUUAUUAGUGUUCUUGUUUGCUAAAUUGUGUAUUUGUUAUAGAGAAUGAGAAAAAAAUUAGUGUUAUUUAGUUGGUUCUUUUUUCGUAAAUUUUGUAUAUUGUUAUCAAGAAAUGAGAAGAUUUGAUAGUGUUAUUAGUGUCUUGUUUUGCUAAUUUGUAUAAAUUGUUAAUCCAAGGAAAUGAGAAAGAUUGAUAGUUAUAGUGUUCUUGUUUUGCUAAAUUUUGUAUUUGAGUUUAUCAAGAAAUGAGAAGAUUGAUAAUGUUAUUAGUGUUCUUGUUUUCUAAAUUUUGUAUAUCGUUAUCAAUAAAAUGAGAAGAUUGAUAGUGUUAUUAGUGUUCUUGUUUUUGCUAAAUUUUGUAUAUUUGAUAUCAAGAAAUGAGAAGAUUGAUAGUGGUAUAGUGUUCUUGUUUUGCUAAAUUUUGUAUAUGUUCAUCAAGAAAUGAGAAGAUUGAUAUUUUAUUUGUGUUCUUGUUUUGCUAAAUUUGUAUAUUAUUGUUAUCAAAAACGAAGAAAUAAUGUGUGUUAUUAGUGUUCUUGCUUUUCGCUUUAAUUUAUGUUAUUGUUAUUCAAGAAAUAGAAGUUGAUAGUGUUAUUAGGUGUUCUUGUUUUGUAACAUUUCUAAUUUGUAUAUUGCUUAUUCAAGAAAUGCAGGAAGAUUUGAUAGCUGUUAUUAGUGUUCUUGGUUUUUGACUAAAUUUUGUAUAUUGUUAUCAAGAAAUGAGGAAGCAUUGAUUAGUGUUAUUAGUGUUCUUGUUUUGCAAAUUUUGUAUAUGGUUAUCAAAGAAAUGAGAAGAUUGAUAGUGUGAUUAGUGUCUUGUUGUGCCUAAAUUUUGUAUAUUGUUAUCAAGAAAAUUGAGGAAGAUUGCAUAAGUUAUUAAUGUUCUUGUUUUUGCUUAAAUUUUGUAUAUUGUUAUCAAGCAAAUGAGAAGAUUGCAUAGUGUUAGUAGCUGUUCUUAUUUUGCCUAAAUUUUGUAUAUGAUCAAAGAAGAUUGAGAGAUUGAUAGUGUUAUGAGUGUUCUUGUUGUGCCUAAAUUUUGUUAUAUUGUUAUCAAGAAAAUGAGAAGGAUUGAUAACGUGUUAUUAGUGUUUCUUGUUUUGCCCUAAAUUUGUACAUUGUUAUCAAGAAAUGAGGAGAUUGAUAUGUUAUUAGGGUUCUUGUUUGGCUAAAUUUUGUAUAUUGUUAUCAAGGGAAAAUGAGAAGAUGUUGAUAGUUGUUAUUAGUGUUCUUGUUUUUGCUAAGUUGUAUAUUUUAUCAAAGAAAUGCAGAAGAUUGGAUUAGUGUUGAUUAGUGAUUCUUGUUUUCGCUUAAAUUUGGUAUAUUGUUUAUCAAAAACAUGAGAAGAUUGAUAAUGUUAUUAGUGGUUCUUGUUUUGCUAAAUUUUGUAUUAUGUUAUCAAGAGAAUAGGAGAAGAUUUGAUAGUGUUAUUAGUGUUCUUGUUUUGCUAAAAUUUUGUAUAUUGAUUAUCAAAAAUGAGAAGGAUUGAUAGGUUAUUAGUGUUCUUGUUUUUGCUAAAAUUUUGUAUAUUUGAUUAUCAAGAAAUGGGGAAGAUUGAUAUUGUAUUAUUGUAUCUUGGUUUUGCUAAAUUUUUCUUUAUUGUUAUCAAGAAAAUCAGAAGAUUGAUAGUGUUAUUUGUGGUUCUUGCUUUUUUGCUAAAUUUUUGUAUGAUUGUUAUCCAAGAAAGAGAGAAUUGAUAGUGUUAUUAGUUGUUCCUUGUUUUGCUAUAAUUUUGUAUAUUGUUUAUCAAGAAAUCAGAAGCUUGAUGUGUUAUUAGUCGUUCUUGUUUUUGUUAAUUUUGAUAUAUUGAUUAUCAAGAAAUGAGGAAAGAUUGAUAGUGUUAAUUUAGUGUUUUUCUUUUUGCUAAAUAUUGUUAGUAUUGGUUAUCAGGAAAUGAGAAGAUUGAUAGUGUUAUUAGUGUUCUUUUUUUGCAAAAAUUUUGUUUAUUUUAGUUUCGAAAAUGAGAAGAUGUUAGUGAUAUUAUGUUCUUGUUUUUGCUAAAAUUUUGGUUAUAUUUUGUUAUCAAAGAAAUUGGAAAAGAUUGAUUAUUUUGUUAUUAGUGUUUCUUGUUUUGCUAAAAUUUUUGUAUAUUUGGUAUUUUCAAAAAAAGGGAAAUGAGGAAAGGUGUGAUUAAGUGCUUAUUUUAGUUGUUUCCUUGUUUUGGCUUUAAAAUUUUUGGGUUUGUAUUUAUUGGUUUUAAUUCAAAAAAAAAGGGAAAAUUUUGAGGGGGGAAGAUUUUGGAUGUUUUUUUUUUUCCCCCUCCCUCCCUUUUUUUUCCCCGGNAGAAAUGAGAAGAUUGAUAGUGUUAAGUGUUCUAGUUUUGAUCAAAAUUUUGUAUAUUGUUAUCAAGAACAAUGAGAAGGAUGUGAUAGUGUUAUUAGUGAUUCUCUUGUUAUUUGCUAAAUUUUUUGUAUAUUCGUUAUCAAGAAACGAGAAGAUUGAUAGUGUAUUAGUGUUUGUUUGUUUGCUUCAAAUUUUCGUAUUAUUGGUUAUCCAAGAAAUGAGAAGAUUGAUAGUGUAUAUUAGUGUCUUGUUUUCGUAAAUUUGUAUAUUGUUAUCAAGAAAUGAGAAGAUUGAUAUUGUUUUAUUAGUUUUCUUGUUUUGCUAAAUUUUGUAUAUUGUUAUCAAGAAAGAGAAAGAAUAAGUGUUAUUAGUGUUCUUGUUUUGCGAAAUUUUGUAUAUUGUUAUCAAGAAAUGAGAAGAUUGAUAGGCGUUAUUAGUUCUUGUUUUGCCUAAAAUUUGUAUAUUGUUAUCAAGAAAUGAGAAGAUUGAUAGUAUUAUUAGUGUUCUUGUUUUGCUAAAUUUUGUAUAUUGUUAUCAAGAAAUGAGCAGAUUGAUAGUGUUAUAGUUUCUUGUUUUGCUAAAUUUUUAUAUUAUUAUCAGAAAUGAGAAGUGAUAGUGUUUUAUGUUUUGCUUUUGCCUAAAUUAUUGCAAUAUUGUUAUCAAGAAAUGAGAAGCAUAUAGUUAUAUUAUUCUUGCUGAUCAAGUAAACUUACGUGGACAGCAGAUUCAAAAUAGCAUUCAUGCGAUACGUUCCAUGCUCUGUUAGCAAUGAAUGGAUAACUGUGUAAUCUGAAUGUUCGUUUGAAUUAAUGAUGGCUUCGCCAAAUCAUUGUUCUAUAUUGACGCCACAUCAGGGAACGAUAUAGUGAGUUAUUCAUUUGCUUCUUGUUUCUAUAAUAUAAUGCUGUAUUAUUGUUAUCAAGAAAUGAGAAGAUGAUAGUGUUAUUAGGUUUCUUGGUUUUGCUAAAUUUUGUAUUGAUUGCUUAUUCAGAAAUGAGAAGAAUUGAUAAGUGUGAUUAGUGUUCUUGUUUUGCUAAAUUUUGUAUAUUGGUAUCAAGAAUGAGAAGAUUGCAUAUGUUAUUAGUCCUUCUUGUUUUGCCUAAAUUUUGUGUAUAUAUGUUAUCAGAGAAAUGAGAGGUUGAUAGUGUUAUUAGUGUUCUUGUUUGCUAAAUUUUUGUAUAUUGUUAUCAGAAAUGCAGAAGCAUUUUGAUAGUGUUAAUUGACUGUUCUUGUUAUCAAGAAACGUUGACGCUUGACCCUUUAGCAAAAUUCUCAAAAAUGAAAGGCAUUGCCAUGGGGAAUUCUCCAUGGCUUUCUUUUAAGUCAAUAAGGAUAUGGAAGCAUCACAACCAAGCUCGAUGUAUUUCUAAGUGUCAUUGACACACUGUUCGUUUGAAUUAAUGAUGGCGCUUCAAAGCCACCACCACUGCUUCCUAUAUUCGUACGCACAUCUUAGCGACUCUUAUUACGUGAGUUAUUUCUUUGCUUCUUUUUUUGCUAAAUUGGUAUAUUGUUAUCAAGAAAUCGAGAAGAUUGAUAGUUGUUAUUGGUUAUUGUUUCAAAUGUUUUGUUCAGGUAAUUGAGAGAUUGAUAAAUAGGUUUGUUGUUCCAAUUGUAUAUUGUUAUCAAGAAAUGCAGAAGAUUGAUAGGUUAUUAGUGUUCUUGGUUUUUCUAAAUAUGUCGUAUAUUUUGUCAAGAAAUGAGAAGAUUUGGAUUAGUGUAUACUUCUUGUUGCAUUCUUGUAUAUUGUCAGAAAUAGAGAAGAUUUAUGUUUUAUGUUCUUUAAUUGUUAUUUUUAUCAAGAAAUGAGAAGGUUGCAUAGUGUUAUCUAGUGUUCUUGUUUGCCUAAUAUUUGUAUAUUGUUAUAAAGAAAUGCAAAGAUUGAUAGUGUUAUUAGUGUUCUUGUUUUGCUAAAUUUUGUAUAUUGUUUAUCAAAAGAAAUGAUGAAGAUUGGUAGGUUAUUAGUGUUCUUGCUUUGAUGAAUUUGUUAUAUUCGUUGAUUCAAGAAAUGAGGAAGAUUGAUAGUGUUAUUAGUGUUUCUUGUUUUGACUAAAUUUUGUUUAUUGUUAUCAAGAAACGACAGAAGAUUGAUAGUGUAUUGGUGCUUCUUGUUUUGCUUAAAUUUUGUAUAUUGUAUCAUCUAACGCAAAUGCAGAAGACUUGAUAGUUUAAUUAGUGUUCUUGUUUUCUAAAUUUUUGUAGUAUGUUAUCAAAGAAAUGAGAAGAUUGAUAGUGUUAUGUAGUUUCGUUGUUUGACUAAAUUUAGUAUAUAAGUUAUCACAGAAAAUGAGAACGUUGAUAGGUUAUAGUGUUCUGUUUUGCUAAAUUUUUGUAUAUGCUUAUAUCUAAGAAAUGAAAGAUUGAUAGUGUUAUUAGUGUUCUGUUAUCAAGAAACAUUUAGACGCUGACCCUACCAAAACUCUCCUCCAAAAUGAAAGCUUUUCAUGCGGAAUUCUCCAUGGCUUCUGUUUAAGUCAAAUAAGAUAAUGGAAGAUUCACAACAUAGCGAUGAUAAAGCGCAUGACGCAUUUCGUCUCGUGAAUUUAUGGAAGGCUUCAAGCCACAACCAUGCUGCUCCUAUAUCCGUACGCACACUUUAGGCACUCUAUUAACGUGGAGUUAUUUUUUUGCUUCUUUUUUCCUUAGCAAACUUACUGAAUAUGUUAUCGUAAGAAAUGAAAAGAUUGAUAGUCGCUUAUUAGCUGCUUCUUGUUUUUGCUAAAUUUUGCUAUAUGUUUAUAAGAAAUCGAGAAAUUGAUAGUGUUUAUUACGUAGUGUUCUGUUUUGCUAAAUUUGAUUAUAUGUUAUAUCGGAAGAAAUGAUGAAUGAUGAUAGAGUGUUUAGUUUUACUGUUAUUGCUAAAAUUUGUAAUAUUGAUAAGAAUGCAGAAGAAUUGAAGUGUGGCUAUUAGUGAUUACGUCUGUUUGUCUAAAUUUUGUAUAUUGUUAUUCAGAAAGAGAGUAAGAUAUGUAUUAGUGUUAUUAGUGCUUCUUGAUUUUUUUAUUUUGAUGAAUUUGUAUAUUGUUAUCAAGAAAUGAGAGAUUGAUAGUGUUAUUAGGUGUGCUUGUUUUACUAAAUUUUGCUAUAUUGUUAUCAAGAAACGAGAAGAUUGAUAGUGUUAUGGUCGUUCCUUGCUUUUUCUAAAUUUGUAUAUUGUUAUCAAGAAAUAGAAGAUGAUACGUGUUAUUAGUGUUCCUUGCUUUUGCCUAAAUUUUGUAUAUUGUAUAUCAAGAAAUUGAGAAAUUGAUAGUGUUAUAGUCUUCUUGUUUGCUAAAUUUUGUAUAUUAUUUCAAGAAAUGAGAAGGUUGAUGUAGUGUUUUAGUGUCAUAGUUUUGCCUAAAAUAUUGUAUAUUUUAUCAAGCAAAAUGAAGUAAGAUUGCAUAGUGUUAUUAGUGUUCUUAGUUAUCAAGAAAAACGUUUGACCUGCACCAGUUAGCUGAAAAUCUCUCAAAAAAUGAAGGCGUUGCCAUUGGGGAAUUCUUCCAUUGGCUUCUUUUAAGUCAAAUAAGGAUAUGCGAAGCCAUCACAACCAAGUCGCAUGUAAGCCAUGACGCACUAGUUCGUUUUGAAUUUAUGAUGGCUUCAAAGGCCACACCAUUGCUUGCCUAUAUUCGUACGCCCACAAUCUUUAGCGAAAACUCUAUUAAGUGGAGUUAUUUCUUUGCUUCUUCUUUUUCUUAGCAUACUAUCUGUAUAUUGAUUAUCAAGAAAAAUGCCCAGAAGAUUGCAUAGUGUUAUUAGUGCUCCUUGUUUUGCUAAUUUUGUUAUAUAUUUAAUCAAGAAAUGAGAAGAUUGAUUACUGUUAUUACUGUUCUUGUUUUGCUAAAUUUUUGUAUAUUGUUAUCAAGAAAUGCAGAAGAUGAUAGUGUUAUAGUGUUCUUGUUUUGCAUUGAAUUUUAGUAUAUUGUUAUCAGAAAUGAGCAAAGAUUGAUAGUGUUAUUAGUGUUUCUUGUUACUAAAUUAUUUAUAUAUUGGUUUAUCAGAAAACGCAGAGAUGCAUAGUGUUAUUAGUGUUCUUGUUUUGCUAAAUUUUGUAAUCUUGCUUUAUCAAGAAAUGAGAAGCCAUUGCAUAGUGUUAUUAGUGUUCUUUGUUAUCAAGAACACGUGUUGCACGCUGACCCAUUUAGCAAAAUCUCUCAAAAAUGAAGGCGUUGCCAUGGCGGGAAUUCUCCAUGGCGCAUCUUCUUUUAAGUCAAUAAGGAUAUGGAAGAUCACAACCAAGGUCGACUGUAAGCCCAUGACGCCACUGUCGUUUGAAUUUAUGAUGGCUUCAAAGCCACACCAAUUGCUUCCUAUAUCCGUACGCCACAUCUUCUAGGACUCUAUUAAGUGAGUUAAGUUAUUUCUGGUUAUUUUGCCUUACUUUUUUCUUAGCCAUACUUAUCUGUUAUAUUGUUAUUCAAGAAAAUGAGGAAGAUUGAUAGCUGUAUUAGUGUCCCUUGUUUUGCUAAAUAUUUGCUAUAUUAUAUCAAAGUCAAAUGAGGAAGAUGAUAGUGUUAUUACUGUUCUUGUUUGCUAAAAUUAUGUAUAUUGUUAUAAAGAAAUGAGAAGAUUGAUAGUGUAUUAGUGUUCUAAUUUUGCUAUAUUAAGCUUAUCAAGAAAUGAAAGAAGAUGAUAGUGUUAUUCAGUGCUUCUGCUUUUACUAAAUUUGUUAAUUGUUAUCAAGAAACGCAGAAGAUUGAUAUGCUUAUUAGUGUUCUUGUUUUGCCUAAAAUAUUGCAAAUGAAAGGCAUUGCCAUGGGGAAUUCUCCAUGGCUUCUAUUCAGUCAAAUAAGGAUAUGGAAGAUCACAACCAAGUCGAUGUAAGCCAUGACGCACUGUUCAUUUGAAUUUAUGAUGGCUUCAAAAGCCACACCACUACUUCCUAUAUCCGUACGCACAUCUUUAGGACUCUAUUACGUGAGUUAUUUCUUUGCAUCUUUUUUCUUAUCAUACUUAUCUGUAUAUUGUUAUCAAGAAAUGAAAAGAUUGAUAGUGUUAUUAGUGUUUUUGUUUUGCUAAAUUAUGUAUAUUGUUAUCAAGAAAUGAGAAGAUUGAUAUUGUUAUUAGUGUUCUUGUUUUGCUAAAUUUUGUAAAUUGUUAUCAAGAAAUGAGAAGAUUGGUCGUGUUAUUAGUGUUCUUCUUUUGCUAAAUUUUGUAUAUUAUUAUCAAGAAAUGAGAAGCUUGAUAGUGUUAUUAGUCUUCUUGUUUUGCUAAAUUUUGUAUAUUAUUAUCAAGAAAUGAGAAGGUUGAUAGUGUUAUUAGUGUUCUUGUUUUGCUAAAUUUUGUAAAGAGAGAGAUUAACUCUAUUAUGUGAGUGUAUUCUUGCCUCGUUUUUUUCUUGAGCAAUAUCUAUCUGUAUAUUGUAUCCAAGAAAUGAGAAAGAUUGAUAGUGUUUAUUGUGUUCUUGUUUGCUAAAUUUUAUAUAUUUGUUAUCAAAGAAAUGAGAAGAUUGAUAGUGUUAUUAGGUUCUUGUUUUGCUAAAUUUGUAUAUUGUUAUCAGAAAUGAGAAGAUUGAAGUGUUAUUAGUGUUUUUUGUUUUGAAAUUUUGUAUAUUGUUAUCAAGAAAUGAGAAGAUUGAUAGUGUUAUUAGUGUUCUUGUUUUGCUAAAUUUUUUAUAUUGUUAUCAGAAAGAGAAGAUUGAUAGUGUUAUUAGUGUUCUUGUUUUGCUAAUUUUUGUAUAUUGUUAUCAAGAAAUGAGAAGAUUGAUAGUGUUAUUAGUGUUCUUGUUUUGUAAAUUUUGUAUAUUGUUAUCAAGAAAUGAGAAAUUGAUAGUGUUAUUAGUGUUCUUGUUAUCAAGAAAUGUUUGACGCUGACCCUUUAAGAAUCUCUCAAAAAUGAAAGGCAUUGCAUGGGAAUUCUCCAUGGCUUUUUGUUCAGUCAAAUAAGGAUAUGGAAGAUCACAACAGUGAUGUAAGUCAUGACGCCUGUUCUUUUGAAUUUAUGAUGGCUUCAAAGGCCACACCACUGCUUCCUAUAUCGUACGCACAUCUUUAGGACUCUUUUACGUGAGUUAUUUUUUGCUUCUUUUUUCUUAGCAUACUAAUCUGUGUAUAUUGUUAUCAAGAAAUGAGAAGAUUGAUAGUGUUAUUAGUGUUCUUGUUUUGCUAAAUUUUGUAUAUGUUAUGCAAAGAAAUGAGAAGAUUGAUAGUGUUAUUAGUGUUCUUGUUUGCAAAAUUUGUAUAUUGUUAUCAAGAAAUGAAAAGAUUGAUAGUGUAUAGUGUUCUUGUUUGCUAAAUUUUGUAUAUUGUUAUCAGAAAUGAGAAGAUUGAUAUGUUUUAUUAGUGUUCUUGUUUUGCUAAUUUUGUAUAUUGUUAUCAAGAAAUGAGAAGAUUGAUAGUGUUAUUAGUGUUCUGUUUUGCUAUUUUGAAUAUUGUAUCAAGAAAUGAGAAGAUUGAAAGUGUUAUAGUGUUCUUGUUUGCUAAAUUUUGUAUUUUUAUCAAGAAAUGAGAAGAUUGAUAGUGUUAUUUGUGUUUUUGUUUUGCUAAAUUUUGUAUAUUGUUAUCAAGAAAUGAAGAUUGAUAGUGUUAUUAGUGUCUUGUUUUGCUAAAUUUUGUAUAUUGUUAUCAAGAAAUAGGAAGGUUGAUAGUGUUAUUAGUGUUUCUUGUUUGCUAAUUUUGUAUAUUGUUAUCAAGAAAUGAGAAGAUUGAUAGUGUUAUUAGUGUUCUUGUUAUCAAGAAACGUUUUGACGCUGACCCUUUAGCAAAAUCUCUCAAAAUGAAAGGCAUUGCCAUGGGGAAUUCUCCAUGGCUUUUAUUCAGUCAAAUAAGGAUAUGGAAGAUCACAACCAAGUCGAUGUAAGCCAUGCCGCACUGUUCGUUUGAAUUUAUGAUGGCUCAAAGGCCACACCACUGCUUCCUAUAUCGUACGCACAUCUUUAGACUCUAUUAUGUGAGUUAUUUCUUUGCUCUUUUUCUUAGCAUACUAUCUGUAUAUUUUUCAAGAAAUGAGAAGAUUGAUAGUGUUAUUGUGUUCUUGUUUUGCUAAAUUUUUUGUUAUUUAUCAAGAAAUGAGAGAUUGAUAGUGUUAUUAGGUUCUUGUUUUGCUAAAUUUUGUAUAUUGUUAUCAAGAAAUGAGAAGAUUGAGUGUUAUUAGUGUUUUUUGUUUUGUAAAUUUGUAUAUUGUUAUCAAGAUGAGAAGAUUGAUAGUGUUAUUAGUGUUCUUGUUUUGCUAAAUUUUGUAUAUUGUUAUCAAGAAAGAGAAGAUUGAUAGUGUUAUUAGUGUUCUUGUUUUCUAAAUUUUGUAUAUUGUUAUCAAGAAAUGAGAAGAUUGAUAGUGUUAUUAGUGUUCUUGUUUUGAUAAAUUUUGUAUAUUGUUAUCAAGAAAUGAGAAAUAUUGAUAGUGUUAUUAGUGUUCUUGUUAUCAAGAAACGUUUGACGCUGACUCCUUUAGCAAAAAUCUCUCAAAAUGAAAGGCAUUGCCAUGGGGAAUUCUCCAUGGCUUCUGUUCAGUCAAAUAAGGAUAUGGAAGAUCACAACCAAGUCGAUGUAAGUCAUGACGCACUGUUCUUUAAUUUAUGAUGGCUUCAAAGCCACACCACUGCUUCCUAUAUUCGUACGCACAUCUUUAGGAUUUUAUUACGUGAGUUAUUUCUUUGCUUCUUUUUUCUUAGCAUACUAAUCUGUAUAUUGUUAUCAAGAAAUGAGAAGAUUGAUAGUGUUAUAGUGUUCUUGUUUUGCUAAAUUUGUAUAUUGUUAUCAGAAUAAUGGAAGAUUGAUAGUGUUAUUAGUGUUCUUGUUUUGCUAAAUUUUUGUAUAUUGUUAUCAAGAAAUGAGAAGAUUGAUAGUGUAUUAGUGUUCUUGUUUUGCUAAUUUUUUGAUAUGUAUCAAGAAAUGAGAAGAUUGAUAGUGUUUAUAGUGUUCUUGUUUGCUAAAUUUUGAUAUUGUUAUCAAGAAAUGAGAAGAUUGAUAGUGUUAUUGUGUUUUGUUUGCUUAAAUUUUGUAUAUUGUUAUCAAGAAAUGAGAAGAUUGAUAGUGUAUUAGUUGUCUUUUUGCUAAAUUUUGUAUAUUGUUAUCAAGAAAUAGAAGUUGAUAGUGUUAUUAGUGUUCUUGUUUGCUAAUUUUGUAUAUUGUUAUCAAGAAAUGAGAAGAUUGAUAGUGUAUAGUGUUAUUAGUNNNNNNNNNNUAGUUAUUGUAUGCAAAAAUGAGAAGAUUGAUAGUGUUAUUAGUUUUCUUGUUUUGUAAAUUUUGUAUAUUGUUAUCAAGAUGAGAAGAUUGAUAGUGUUAUUAGUGUUCUUGUUUUGCUAAAUUUUGUAUAUUGUUAUAAGAGAGAAGAUUGAUAGUGUUAUUAGUGUUUUAUGAUAGUGUUAUUAGUGUUCUUGUUAUCAAGAAACGUUUGACGCUGACCCUUUAGCAAAUUCUCUCAAAAAUGAAAGGCAUUGCCAUGGGGAAUUCUCCAUGGCUUCUAUUCAGUCAAAUAAGGAUGUGGAAGAUCACAACCAAGUCGAUGUAUGUCAUGACGCACUGUUCAUUUGAAUUUGUGAUGGCUUCAAAGGCCACACCACUACUUCCUAUAUUCGUACGCACAUCUUUAGGACUCUAUUACGUGAGUUAUUUCUUUGCUUCUUUUUUCUUAGCAUACUACUAUGUAUAUUGUUAUCAAGAAAUGAGAAGAUUGAUAGUGUUAUUAGUGUUCUUGUUUUGCUAAAUUUUGUAUGUUGUUAUCAAAAAAUAAGAAGAUUGAUAGGGUUAUUAGUGUUCUUGUUUUGCUAAAUUUUGUAUAUUGUUAUCAAGAAAUAAGAAGAUUGAUAGUGUUAUUAGUGUUCUUGUUUUGCUAAAUAUUGUAUAUUGUUAUCAAGAAAUGAGAAGCUUGAUAGUGUUAUUAGUCGUCUUGUUUUGCUAAAUUUUGUAUAUUAUUAUCAAGAAAUG